rnacentral:sRNA from 1 species
UUGCAUUUGAAGCCCAUGAGGAUGAGAACCUCCGGGGGCAGGGAGGUUCGACUCGAGCGAAGCGAGAGAACGUUGCGCCAGCAACGGCCCGCAGGGCGAGCCA